rnacentral:rRNA from 1 species
UACGUAGGGUGCAAGCGUUAAUCGGAAUUACUGGGCGUAAAGCGUGCGCAGGCGGUUGUGCAAGACAGAUGUGAAAUCCCCGGGCUUAACCUGGGAACUGCAUUUGUGACUGCACGGCUAGAGUGUGUCAGAGGGGGGUAGAAUUCCACGUGUAGCAGUGAAAUGCGUAGAUAUCCGGAGGAACACCGGUGGCGAAGGCGGCUUCCUGGACCGACACUGACGCUGAGGCGCGAAAGCUAGGGGAGCAAACGGG